rnacentral:rRNA from 1 species
UGGCGGACGGGUGAGUAAUGUCUGGGAAACUGCCCGAUGGAGGGGGAUAACUACUGGAAACGGUAGCUAAUACCGCAUAAUGUCUACGGACCAAAGCGGGGGACCUCCGGGCCUCGCGCCAUCAGAUGAACCCAUAUGGGAUUAGCUUGUAGGUAAGGUAACGGCUUACCUAGGCGACGAUCCCUAGCUGGUCUGAGAGGAUGGCCAGCCACACUGGAACUGAGACACGGUCCAG